GGAAGGGGCUACCAGGUGCUAUUAGACGGUGUAUUACCCGUACACAUAGAAGGGGUGAGGUACUAAUUAUGAGGAGGUUAAUGAAGAGACCCUGUCAACACAUGGGCUUCCCAAUGUCACCUUUAUUUGCGACUUCAAGAAGACAACAUCAAUGGGUGGAGACCUUCCUACGUCUGGAUGGGCGUGCACCAGAGUUUCUUGCUCCAGUGAUGGACUAUGUCUACAGGACGUGGAUCCGUUCUUCAAUCUUCAAGAUCCAUCACUGGAGUGUGUUCAUGACGUCCAUCCGGACGAACAAUGAUGAAGGGGGGAUGGCACAACCGCCUAAACACCAGUGUUGUCACCAGGGGAUCAGUUCCCUUUUACCAUCUUCUUCUUGUUCUGCAUCGGGAAGCGACCAACAUCACAGUGCAGAUGAAGAUGGUAUAUGAAGGGAAGAUGCAGAGGUUCCAAAGGAAGAGGACAUUACCGGUGGAAGGUCGUGUCUUCAAGCUGUGGAACAACUACUGUGAAAGAUCGAUCACUGCGAGUGAACUGUUAAAGGGCUGUGCUUCUAUUUAUGGACCACCAGCUUUGAACAUGUGAUUCGUUCAGAUAUCGUGAUAUCGACAGCUGUGCCCCCUUCGUGAAAUGUGCAUCUUGUAAUGUAAAAAUGUCUUUAACUUAUAAAGUAUGUUUGUUAUUGUCACUGCAUUUAAAAUAUCUUGUUUUUGUUUUAUUGAGUUUUUUUUAAUCAAAAUUGCUAUGACUGUUUUUGUUAUUCGUUGUGCCUAUGUUUAAAAUUCAUAAUGAAUAAAAAGAUGGAUGUAGCUAAG
rnacentral:misc_RNA from 1 species